rnacentral:tRNA from 1 species
GGCCUUGUGGCCUAAAGGAUCAGGCGUCGGACUUCGGAUACGAAGAUUACAGGUUCGAGUCCUGCCAGGGUCG